rnacentral:rRNA from 1 species
UGGGUGGGCCUGAGAACGGCUACUACAUCUACGGAGGCAGCAGGCGCGUAAUUACCCAUCCGAUAGGGAGGUGGAGACAGAUAUAACAACGCAUUUAUUGUGAUUGUAGUGAGGGUUUUUCUAAGCCGGAGCCACUAGUACGAUUAGAGGGCAAGUCUGGUGCCAGCAGCCGCGGUAAUUCCAGCUCUAAUAGCGUAUAUUAAAGUUGCUGCAGUUAAAAGCUCGUAGUUGGAUCGCAAGGACAGCUUUACCUCUUUGAGGUUUGCUUUCCUACUAGUCUUUCGGACUGUUACUGUGAGAAAUUAGAGUGUUAAAGCAGGCUUUUGCAGAAUACAUUAGCAUGGAAUACGAAUGUGUUUAGAUCUUGGUUAUUCUAUUACGAUAAAGAGACAGCGGGGCAAACAACACACACGCAAGGGAAUCUGGAUUUGUAAGACUACGAUGCAAAGCACCUCCAGGAUGUUCAUAUCAGACGAAGAAGGGGAUCAAGGACAUCAACACUGUCUAUCUACUAUACUAUGCCGACUAGGAUGGAUGGAUCCAUCAGACUUAGGAAUCAGUCUUGUCUGGGGGAUUGUCCAAACUGACUAGAUGGCGAGGCCCC